GGUUCGAUGGCGUAGUUGGUUAUCGCAUCUGUCUAACAUCAACGGGCCCAAACGUCAAGAGUUACACAGAAGGUCCCCAGUUCGAGCCUGGGUCGAAUCA